rnacentral:misc_RNA from 1 species
GCAGAAGAUGACUACAAUACAAUCAGGGCAACUGCAACUAGAGCUGCUACAGUAAAUAUCAGAGCAGCUAUUGCAUUGGCAGCUAGCCCUGCCCGCUCCCUCGGAUCUCUCUGGUAGUGAUUCCGGAAGUAAAGAACUGUUGCAUAAUACCACAUGAAUGGGAAUACAAAACCAAGUAGCAGGGAAAACCAUCCUAUUCCACAACCAAAGCAAGGAAGAGGUCUGUCAAAGAUCCCCAGCUGAUUGU